CUACGGGUCGCUGCAGUGGGGAAUAUUGCACAAUGGGCGCAAGCCUGAUGCAGCCAUGCCGCGUGUAUGAAGAAGGCCUUCGGGUUGUAAAGUACUUUCAGCGGGGAGGAAGGGAGUAAAGUUAAUACCUUUGCUCAUUGACGUUACCCGCAGAAGAAGCACCGGCUAACUCCGUGCCAGGCAGCCGCGGUAAUACGGAGGGUGCAAGCGUUAAUCGGAAUUACUGGGCGUAAAGCGCACGCAGGCGGUUUGUUAAGUCAGAUGUGAAAUCCCCGGGCUCAACCUGGGAACUGCAUCUGAUACUGGCAAGCUUGAGUCUCGUAGAGGGGGGUAGAAUUCCAGGUGUAGCGGUGAAAUGCGUAGAGAUCUGGAGGAAUACCGGUGGCGAAGGCGGCCCCCUGGACGAAGACUGACGCUCAGGUGCGAAAGCGUGGGGAGCAAACAGGAUUAGAUACCCUCGUAGUC
rnacentral:rRNA from 1 species